rnacentral:rRNA from 1 species
GCGCACCAGGCGCGAAUUUUUCUCAAUGGGCGAAAGCCUGAAGGAGCGACGCCGCGUGGGGGAUGAAUGGCUUCGGCCCGUAAACCCCUGUCAUUUGUGAACAAAUUGUUUCACCUAACACAUGAAGCAUUGAUAGUAACGGAAGAGGAAGGGACGGCUAACUCUGUGCCAGCAGCCGCGGUAAUACAGAGGUCCCAAGCGUUGUUCGGAUUCACUGGGCGUAAAGGGUGCGUAGGCGGUUGGGUAAGUCUGACGUGAAAUCUCCGGGCCUAACCCGGAAACUGCGUUGGAUACUAUCCGGCUAGAGGAAUGGAGGGGAGACUGGAAUACUUGGUGUAGCAGUGAAAUGCGUAGAUAUCAAGUGGAACACCAGUGGCGAAGGCGAGUCUCUGGACAUUUCCUGACGCUGAGGCACGAAAGCCAGGGGAGCAAACGGGAUUAGAUACCCGUGUAGU